rnacentral:rRNA from 1 species
AUUGAACGCUGGCGGCAUGCCUUACACAUGCAAGUCGAACGGCAGCACAGGAGCAAUCCUGGUGGCGAGUGGCGAACGGGUGAGUAAUAUAUCGGAACGUGCCCAGUCGUGGGGGAUAACGCAGCGAAAGCUGUGCUAAUACCGCAUACGAUCUAAGGAUGAAAGCGGGGGAUCGCAAGACCUCGCGCGAUUGGAGCGGCCGAUAUCAGAUUAGCUAGUUGGUGGGGUAAAGGCCCACCAAGGCGACGAUCUGUAGCUGGUCUGAGAGGACGACCAGCCACACUGGAACUGAGACACGGUCCAGACUCUUACGGGAGGCAGCAGUGGGGAAUUUUGGACAAUGGGCGCAAGCCUGAUCCAGCAAUGCCGCGUGCAGGAUGAAGGCCUUCGGGUUGUAAACUGCUUUUGUACGGAACGAAACGGCCCUUUCUAAUACAAGGGGCUAAUGACGGUACCGUAAGAAUAAGCACCGGCUAACUACGUGCCAGCAGCCGCAGUAAAAC